UAGUACCUGUAUGGUGCUAUGUUCUCUUUCCAACCUCCUGCCCCCCCCAACCAAGCCAGUCCCGGUGGACCCCGCCCUCACCAUGAGCCAGAAAGUAAAUUGAAUUAAACAUCUCUGGAGAGACCUGAAAAUGGCCGUCCACCAAUGGUCCCCAUCCAACCUGGCAGAGCUCGAGAGGAUCUGUAGAGAAGAAAGGCAGAGACUCCCCAGAUCCAGGUGUGCAAAGCUUGUCGCCUCGUACCCAAGAAGACUCGAGGCUUUACUCGCUGCCAAAGCUGGUGAUCUUCUUGCGGGGCAGGAAGGCAUUAGUGAUCUGGUUCAUCACCACCAGGGCAGGGAAGAGGGGCAGCAGGAGGAAGGCCCACCAGGCCACCCCUUUCACUGUGG